UGUCCGGAAGAUGAAUAAAAUAUCUACUCUCACUCUUUCUUCGGCUUCCUUCUUCUCUACACGCACAUGGCCGAAAGUUGGUCCUUCCGUCUUUCUGUUACACGUAAUGGGAGUGAAGACGACCACCCAAACCCCAAUGUUUUACCAUGUAGUCGUUUAAAAACAAAAUGUUUGAAGAGCUCCCCAAUGAAGAUUUCCACCAAGAAGUCCUAUUUCAAGAGUGGCCCAAAUUGAGGAUAUCAGGAACAUGGCUGGAUGCAACAGAGAUGGCAUCGUGCACAAGUAGUUCUAUCAAGACUGAGUGGUCCAAAUUGAGGACAUCAGGAACAUGACUGGAUGCAAGAGAGAUGUGCAUGAUGCCAAGUCGUACUUCAAGAGCGGCCCAAAUUGAGGAUAUCAGGAACAUGACCGAAUGCAACAGAGAUGGCAUCGUGCACAAUUAGUCCUAUCAAGACUAAGUGGUCCAAAUUGAGGAUAUCAGGAACAUGGCUGGAUGCAACAGUGAUGGCCUUGUGCACAAAAAGUCCUAUUUCAAGAUGGCCCAAAUUGAGGAUAUCGGGAACAUGGCUGAAUGCAACCGAUGGCACCACGAAGGGAAGGCGUACUUGGGACAAGUUGAGAAAUGUCUUGACAUGACCUGAUUGCACAGCGCACCGAACAAUGACUAGUCCACCUUGGGAUCCAACGGGGGCGGGCUGGAUGUGAGCACUGGUGAUUUUGUGAUUUGCUGCCAUUAAACUUCAGCCUGUGACACUUGUUAAAGCCUUUUAAGAUUCAGGACUAAAUUGAUGGAAUAUUGUUUGCAUUUUAUGGAACAAUAAAGAAUUGAAGUUAGACAUGGCAAUUAAAGGGUUGAGGUCAGUAUGUUGAGAAA